GAGGGCGUGAAGUUGCCGCCCGGGCUCCUGCCGCUUCCUCGAGAAGCUGACAAUGACUGCGCUGCUACCUUCCGAGAGGGAGACGUGAUGGGAACGGGGGAGCUCUGCGGCGAGGCAAUGACGACUGCUGCUUUAACGUGUCGCCGGAGCGCGGGGUCUGCGGCUCGUCUGGGGAGGAACUCGUCCUUGAAGGAGGACUCUUACGAGCUUUGAAACUGGCUGCAAUGAGCCCCCAGCGCUAAGCUGUCACAUGAUCAGGAUUUUACCAGCAUCAAAGCAGACAUAUGGUCCGGUUUUCCCUCUUCCCAUCCAUCGACCCUUCCUAGGCGCGCACGGUGAAGCGCACCUUUGGGGGGGGUUCUGUGAUGCCUGGCUCGUCCGCUCCUCGUGUGUGCCACGCCCCCCUGAUUUCCCUCGUGUACUUUCCUGAUCGUCUCCAUCUGUGUCCGUUUACUUUGAUUAGUCCCGUCCUAUUUAAGUCCUGGUCUUACCUGUUCCCCUUGUCCGUCAUUGUGGUAUCGGUGUGGUAAAUGUCUCCUGGUCCCUUUUCCCUAAUAAAACCCCGAGUUUUGCCCCGAGUUCUGCCUGUUCGCCUGCU